rnacentral:rRNA from 1 species
CGUCCCAUUAGCUUGUUGGCGGGGUAACGGCCCACCAAGGCAUCGAUGGGUAGGGGUUCUGAGAGGAAGGUCCCCCACAUUGGAACUGAGACACGGUCCAAACUCCUACGGGAGGCAGCAGUGAGGAAUAUUGGUCAAUGGGCGGAAGCUUGAACCAGCCAAGUAGCGUGCAGGAAGACGGCCCUCCGGGUUGUAAACUGCUUUUAGUUGGGAAUAAAACGGGGCUCGUGAGCCCCUUUGCAUGUACCAUCAGAAAAAGGACCGGCUAAUUCCGUGCCAGCAGCCGCGGUAAUACGGAAGGUCCGGGCGUUAUCCGGAUUUAUUGGGUUUAAAGGGAGCGCAGGCGGACCUUUAAGUCAGCUGUGAAAUACGGCGGCUCAACCGUCGAACUGCAGUUGAUACUGGAGGUCUUGAGUGCACACAGGGAUGCUGGAAUUCAUGGUGUAGCGGUGAAAUGCUCAGAUAUCAUGAAGAACUCCGAUCGCGAAGGCAGGCAUCCGGGGUGCAACUGACGCUGAGGCUCGAAAGUGCGGGUAUCAAACAGGAUUAGAUACCCUGGUAGUCCGCACAGUAAACGAUGAAUACUCGCGGUUUGCGAUACAGUGUAAGCCGCCAAGCGAAAGCGUUAAGUAUUCCACCUGGGGAGUAC